GAUGAACGCUGGCGGCGUGCCUAAUACAUGCAAGUCGAGCGAACGGACGAGAAGCUUGCUUCUCUGAUGUUAGCGGCGGACGGGUGAGUAACACGUGGAUAACCUACCUAUAAGACUGGGAUAACUUCGGGAAACCGGAGCUAAUACCGGAUGAUAUUUUGAACCGCAUGGUUCAAAAGUGAAAGACGGUCUUGCUGUCACUUAUAGAUGGAUCCGCGCUGCAUUAGCUAGUUGGUAAGGUAACGGCUUACCAAGGCAACGAUGCAUAGCCGACCUGAGAGGGUGAUCGGCCACACUGGAACUGAGACACGGUCCAGACUCCUACGGGAGGCAGCAGUAGGGAAUCUUCCGCAAUGGGCGAAAGCCUGACGGAGCAACGCCGCGUGACUGAUGAAGGUCUUCGGAUCGUAAAACUCUGUUAUUAGGGAAGAACAUAUGUGUAAGUAACUGUGCACAUCUUGACGGUACCUAAUCAGAAAGCCACGGCUAACUACGUG
rnacentral:rRNA from 1 species